rnacentral:rRNA from 1 species
AUUGAACGCUGGCGGCAGGCCUAACACAUGCAAGUCGAACGAGUGGCGGACGGGUGAGUAAUGUCUGGGAAACUGCCUGAUGGAGGGGGAUAACUACUGGAAACGGUAGCUAAUACCGCAUACCAUCGGAUGUGCCCAGAUGGGAUUAGCUAGUAGGUGGGGUAAAGGCUAACCUAGGCGCCGAUCCCUAGCUGGUCUGAGAGGAUGACCACCCACACUGGAACUACAACACGGUCCAGACUCAUACGGUAGGCAGCAUUAGGGAAUAUUGCACAAUGGGCGCAAGACUGAUGCAGCCAUGCCGCGUGUAUGAAGAAGGCCUUCGGGUUGUAAAGUACUUUCAGCGAGGAGGCGUUACCCGCAGAGGAAGCACCGACUAACUCCGUGCCAGCAGCCGCGGUAAUUC